rfam:Candidate division WWE3 bacterium RAAC2_WWE3_1 chromosome, complete genome.
GCCGGUAUAGCUCAGUUGGUAGAGCAGUCCCUUCGUAAGGGAAAGGUCACAGGUUCGACUCCUGUUAUCGGCU